AUGAACGCUGGCGGCGUGCCUAAUACCUGCAAGUCGAGCGAACAGAUAAGGAGCUUGCUCCUUUGACGUUAGCGGCGGACGGGUGAGUAACACGUGGGUAACCUACCUAUAAGACUGGGAUAACUUCGGGAAACCGGAGCUAAUACCGGAUAACAUUUGGAACCGCAUGGUUCUAAAGUGAAAGAUGGUUUUGCUAUCACUUAUAGAUGGACCCGCGCCGUAUUAGCUAGUUGGUAAGGUAACGGCUUACCAAGGCGACGAUACGUAGCCGACCUGAGAGGGUGAUCGGCCACACUGGAACUGAGACACGGUCCAGACUCCUACGGGAGGCAGCAGUAGGGAAUCUUCCGCAAUGGGCGAAAGCCUGACGGAGCAACGCCGCGUGAGUGAUGAAGGGUUUCGGCUCGUAAAACUCUGUUAUUAGGGAAGAACAAAUGUGUAAGUAACUGUGCACGUCUUGACGGUACCUAAUCAGAAAGCCACGGCUAACUACGUG
rnacentral:rRNA from 1 species